UUGAAUUGAAGAGUUUGAUCAUGGCUCAGAUUGAACGCUGGCGGCAGGCUUAACACAUGCAAGUCGAACGGUAGCAGGAAGAAAGCUUGCUUUCUUUGCUGACGAGUGGCGGACGGGUGAGUAAUGCUUGGGAAUCUGGCUUAUGGAGGGGGAUAACUGUGGGAAACUGCAGCUAAUACCGCGUAUUCUCUGAGGAGGAAAGGGGUGGGACCUUAGGGCCA
rnacentral:rRNA from 1 species